GGUUACUCCUGGCAACUCGCGGCGGAGAGACGGAUGGUGGAAGUGGUAAGCGGAAGUAGUGGUCGUGAAGGGCGUGUAGGUGGGUUGGUAAGCGAGAUGUUAAAUCCCCGGGCUUAACCUGGGAACGGCAUUUCGAACUGUCAGACUAGAGUGUGGUAGAGGGUAGUGGAAUUUCCUGUGUAGCGGUGAAAUGCGUAGAUAUAGGAAGGAACACCAGUGGCGAAGGCGGCUACCUGGACCAACACUGACACUGAGGCGCGACAGCGUGGGGAGCAAACAGGAUUAGAUACCCUAGUAGUC
rnacentral:rRNA from 1 species